UAAGCAGAUAGUGAAAGCGUGUGGCUCAACCAUACUCACAUUAUUUGAACUGCAAAGCUAGAGGACAAGAGAGGUCACUGGAAUUCCCUGUGUAGGAGUGAAAUCCGUAGAUAUAGGGAGGAACACCGAUGGCGUAGGCAGGUGACUGGCUUGUUCCUGACGCUCAGGCACGAAAGCGUGGGUAGCAAACGGGAUUAGAUACCCCGGUAGUCCACGCCGUAAACGAUGGAUGCUA
rnacentral:rRNA from 1 species